UGGGUAACCUGCUUAUAGUGGGGGAUAGCCUUUCGAAAGGAAGAUUAAUACCGCAUAAGAUUGUAGUAUCGCAUGAUAUAGCAAUUAAAGGAGCAAUCCGCUAUAAGAUGGACCCGCGUCGCAUUAGCUAGUUGGUGAGGUAAUGGCUCACCAAGGCGACGAUGCGUAGCCGACCUGAGAGGGUGAUCGGCCACAUUGGGACUGAGACACGGCCCAGACUCCUACGGGAGGCAGCAUG
rnacentral:rRNA from 1 species